AUAUAAACACAACAUUUUUAAAUGAAAAGUAUCAGUUCAACCAACGAUUAUAUCUAGACAUAGAUAAACAUUUGUCACGCUAACCGACUCAACGACAAUUGCUGCAAGGUGGCUCAGAAAACAAACUUCAAACUAUAUUUGGAACAUAUUAUUUAUAAUCAAGUUGACGUUUUAGAGUAAACAAAUUAAUUGUUUACACACAUUUUGAUCAUGGAUGAUGAAAGUAAAAUAGUAAUAUAGUGUUAUGGCUGUUAUUAACAAUAUCUGGACACAUGGACAUAAUCAUUGAAUUGUAUAUUCGUAAAUGUCCAUAGAAAAUACCUUCUGAAAAUAAUGAUUUACUAUGAAAUACAAUGGGUUUAGUGUACAGAUGGCACCAGUUCCAGUGGCCUGUGAAAAGGCCCCAUGUUACGAUUGUUUACUCGAUCGUUUCAUGUGUCGCUAAAAUAGCUCGUUAACAUUCUUAGUAAAUCU